AAUAAGAAGAUGUGUGUAAAACACAUAUCCCAGCCCUGCGUAAAUAAACAUGAGCCUGGCACUGCUCCCCUUUUCAAGUUGUGGGAAAAUCAACACAAAAUUGGCGAGCACGGUUUUCGCUUCCAUCAUUCAACUGGUUGAGGAUGUUGGAUUUUUAAUUCACAACCAGAGCAACACCCCUUUAUAAGGGCCAAAUUGUGCAGACCCCCUCAUCCAAGCCCUCCUUCCCGGGCCUCAGGAGAAGCUUUGUUGGAAAUGGCGGCUGCCUGACACAAGGCUAUGUGAAAACACGGCAAGAAGGUGGCCGUCUACAAGCCAGGUAAAGAGGUCUCACCAGAAACAAAUCCUGACAACACCUUGGUCUUGGCUUCCUAGCCUCCAGAACUAACUUCUCCUGUGCCUGCUGUUUCUUAAAAAUAACC